rnacentral:rRNA from 1 species
CAGUCGCCGCGGUAAUACGGAGGGUGCAAGCGUUAAUCGGAAUUAUUGGGCGUAAAGCGUGCGUAGGCGGUUCGUUAAGUCUGUUGUGAAAGCCCCGGGCUCAACCUGGGAAUGGCAGUGGAUACUGGCGAGCUAGAGUGUGUCAGAGGAUGGUGGAAUUCCCGGUGUAGCGGUGAAAUGCGUAGAGAUCGGGAGGAACAUCUGUGGCGAAGGCGACUAUCUGGGCCAACACUGACACUGAGACACGAAAGCGUGGGGAGCAAACAGGAUUAGAUACCCCCGUAGUCCCUGUCUCUUAUAC